CAGUGCAUAUCUGAGAUCAGGAAAGAGCAUUUUUGUAGCUGAAGAAAAUACUCAAAAAUCCAAAUGAGCACGGGUGGGUGGUGCUGAGCCCCUGACACCUGCGGGGUCCAGGAGGGUACAGCAGACCUGGCUGAUGCCAUGGAAAUGCAGAUAGGCAAAACAAAGAAUGUAAGACUUGAGUUCUGGCAUAUUUUUCAACAUUUGCAGGGUACAUACAUGAAUUAUAGAUGCUCAGAGGUGCUACAGCAGCAGCUCGACAGACUGGCUAUUUCCAUGCAGCAAACAAGAUGCUGAGAGAGGACAACCUGGCCUUAUUAUGACUUAGCUUAUCAUGUCCCAGAUCUGGGACUCAACUGCUCCCUUGGUGCAGUGUGGCAGCUGUCUCUCAGGCAGCUAUGCAGCAUGUGGGGACACCUCUCCAAGCCCCGCUCACUGAUGGUGAUAUAUCCAGUUGUCUCCCGUGCUGCCAAAGAAGGCUGCCUUUGGAGAUCUUCUUAAUGAUGUCUGUGCACAUCUCCAGGUCUUGGGUGGUAAGCGAAGAUCCUUGGAGCAUUUCUGAGCACUGCCCUGGUAUUGUCUCUGCUGCCUGUUUAGGACAGGCUCUUUGCCCUCUGCUGUAAGCCCAUAGAUCCUACAAGGCUCUCUGAAACAAGUGGCUGAAUUUGUCCUGGUGGUUGUUGUGCCCCUGCCUUACCCAGGAGGUCCCAGGAAUACAUUUUCCUCGUGCUCUCAUGCAGGUGCUGGUUGUGUGUGUGCAGCAGAGGAGCUGCAGUGUGCCCCUCUGCACGUAGGCACACACAGCUGGCAGCUGCUCCCCCUUGUCCUUGACGUGACUCCAAGCAGCAGCUUUUGUCACUGGCCUCAGUAGGAGCAGGGCUGGCUGGGUAGGGGCAUGGAGCUCUUUAGAGCACCAGGAUGCUGCUGGGAACAGUGCUGAAGUGCUGGGAAGUGACUGGGAACAUGAUGGCAGUUGCAGAGCUCUUGAGAUGUACAGUCAGAGCUACAAGUGAGAGAGACCCAAAAGCCACUGGUCACUCUUGGAGGUGAUGUGAGGCUGUAUUUUGUUGUGGGCAGAACAGUGUCAUGGGAGUUGGGCUCAGCUCUGCUACCACCUUGCUGAGUGCCUUUAGUCUUGUCACUGUGCUCUUCAGGCUGGGAUUUCUCUGUUACAUAGGAAUUUUGUGGCUUUGCAGAGUAUUUUAAGAUUGGCAGACUGACAGCUAUACAAAAGAUAAAUCUUAUUCUUUUAUCAACAUGUUUCUGUCAGCAGGACUAACCUAAGCUAACCACUGAUCCAGAUGCUCUUGGAAUCGACUGGGAGUUUAUACAUCAGUUCCUUGCUGACAUGCUGUCACAUGCAAAUUGUGAUUUAUGAUGCUAAUGCUCUCUCAACACUUUUCUAAUUUUUUAAUAAAGAUACUUCUGUGAAGUAUUCCACUUCAAGCCCAGCCCAGACUUAUUCAUAUGUUUAAGUUAAAAACAGAGUAAUUGGUGGAACAACAACUUCAUUAAGUUUAACAGUUUAAUAGACUGGCAUGGCUGAGAAAGAAAACCUUCCUCCUCUGGAGCUAUCCUCAGGUGGGGAGUCAGGAAGGCAGAACACCACAUUAGUAAUCGUUCCACUGAUGUUUUCUCACUGCAUCAACAUUAUAUGGGUAAGGAAAUUGCAUGCUUCACUCUUUGACAUAGUUAUGGUGAUAAAUUGGGUAUACAGAAGAACUAAUGAUGAAAUUAAAUGGACUUAUGAAUAUACAUAAGAUCUCUUUCCCAAGGUCAGUUCUGGAUGACACAGCAAAGAUACUACAACAACAGGUAAGAUGUGGGCUCAGUCAGUUGUGGGCAGCAUGUUGCUGAAGGCUGGAUGCAAAUGUUUGCUCAGGAGUACAAAGAGAUGGAGGAAGAUACGAGCAUACAAGUCCAUGAUUUGCCCCUCUGCUCUUGAAGGUAAUUUGGCCUGUUGCCACCUUGAUGCUAAAGAAACCCCUGCACCCCUCACAUAAUGUGCUUUGUUAGAAGGCCAUGCAGGACUUGAGAGCUGAGCUCUGGGUGCUGCAGAGACACGAUCUGUGGAGACAUCUAGUGUUCCAAAGGAUGGAGACUUGGGCUUUUUGGAUGCUACUCAGCAAUUCGGGAGGCAGUUCAGUCUACUUGGCCCCAUCCUAAUCCCCUAGGGCAAGUAAUUUGGGUCAAUAUUUCAACAGUGACUGUUGAUUUUUAUUUUUUUUUUUAAGCACCUUCAUGUUUGAUUGUUUAGUUUUGGGCAAUUAAACUGGAUUCAAGCCAAAGCUGUUAACCUCAACUCUGCAAGAAUGGCUCUCUCAAGUAGUAUAUCCCAAAUACAGGACUCGAAAUUGCCAAUUGCUUCUGAAAAGCCUGUCCUUAUGUCCUCUGUCUCUCAGUUCUCUGUGGUGCACACAGAGACAACAGUGCUUCUUUUGCCUCCAGGAAUGCUGAGGGCAUGGACACAGUUAAAGUAGAAGGGCACUCUCAGACUCAGCAGAUCAAAAAAAGUCUUAAAUAGUUUUUUUUUUUUUCCAGAUUUGAUUCCAUUUCCAAAGUCUCUGUAAUUACUACCACACAGAAGUCAUACAUGUCUGCAGGCUUUGCCCCACGAGUGGCUCCUAUGUCAUUCCAGAGGAGCUGCACACCCUGCAGGGAAACACUUUGUGGAGUGGUUCUUGAGAGACAUCCCUAUGCUUUCUAAGUGAUACAUGAAGUUUUAUUCACAUUUCACGAAGUGACCUUGCCCAGAGCUGCAGCUCUGAAGUAAAGUCCCUACAAGUCUGCAAGCUGUGUGUAUGCAGCAGAUUUUUGCCUGUACUGUUUUUCUGGUGAGGAUGUCCUUUUCUAAGGUGACAGUAUUAAGUUGAUCAGUUUUCAUUCCACUUUUGUCUGCAGUUUGUAGAAUAAAAUGCAAACAAGCUAGAUUUGCUUUCUAAUUGGUGAGUGAGUGGGUCUGGUUUCUAUCGAUAGCAAGAAGAGGGGAGAUGUAUACUCCUGGAGGAGUGCCUGGGCUCUCCCAGCUUUGCAGGAACUGGGAGCUGCUGCCUCUCUGGAAGGAAACAUAUUACAAGCCAAUGUCCUCCCGUUUCAGGGCACCGAGGUACAGUCUUAGGGGAGCCAAGGAUGGGAAGCAGUGGCAGUGGAGCGUGUGCAUGCCUUUGCAGAUGAACUCUGCUUCUCUGGGCUGAGACCUCGCUGGCCCAAUGCGUCAUGGGGUCAUGCAGACACCCAGAGGGACAUCGCAGCUCCGUGUGCCGGAGGCGACACUGACCCCUGCUUCUCUCCCCCUCAUUCUUCCAAGUACUUUCUGGCAAAUAAUCUAAGGUAUGGGGAUUUUUAUUCCCCAUAGAUUCCAGCCCUGGGAAAGCACUUCCCGGUGGGAAUGCGGCUCUCCCCUGCCUCUGUGUUGCCUGGUGCUGGGUGUGCCGAAUCCUUCCAGUCCCUGUCCGACUCGCACUGGCAGCAGUAGCCGGCUCGUGGCAGCAGAGGGAGUCGGAAGCCCAGACACGGUUUGGGGCUCCGCUCCCCGCGCUCCUCCCGCCCCCUGCGCUCAAAACUAACCCACAAACCGUCAGCUGGAUGAAGUAUGAAGAUGUGCCUAAUUUUUCAGACAUGAACGGCCUUUGUCUCUAGUGCCAAGGAGAGCAUCAUCUACCUGGAAGUUUUAUCAUGUAGGGAAAUAUGACGUUUACAAUGUUACAUGCAGUUUUGAAAUUUCCAUCCCAGUGGGAGGCAAAUUCUGAGGCAGAACAGAUUUCCAACCUGCUAUUUCAAGGAGGCAGCAGCCCCAUAAAAAACCCCAACCCAACCCCCCCCCCAAAAAAAACCAACCAAAACCACAAAACCCCAAACCUGAUCCAAAAACAGCAACAAAAAUAUUUAGAAAAAAGUAAUUAGAGAAAAAUAGGAGCAAGAACCCAGUAGCUGCUGAUUAAAGAUGGCAGCAGAGACAACACAACUGAGAAAGCUCUGCCUUGUAGGGCUGGCUUUGGAGUCCAGCAAAAAAGAGGUGCCUUGGUGCUUUCUGCAUACUCCCCUAUCCCCUAGAAAGAGUUUUGCAGCCGUUCCAAAGUUCCAGCUGGCAAAUGCAUGCUGGUGGGCUGGGACACCCUUUGUCUUUGGACCACACUGCUGGUGUGGGACAGAGUGAAGCUGGAACUGUUGUCAGCCCACAUGAAAUCCCAGAUGAAUGUGGGCUCACUGCAGUAAUAAGGGAUAUUACUUUAAGUGUCUCAAUAACGCUACAGCUUUGCUAUCUCCUGCACCAUAAUAUAUAUACUCUUUUACAGACCUAGAUGGAAUUUCUGUGACAUUUCCUCAAAUUGCAUUGUUUUAAGGUACUUUUGCAUUUUUAUUGGCAACCCAGUUGUAAUAGAUGUAAACCACAUAGCAUUGAAACUGCUUUCUAGGAGAUACCUGGUAGCUGUGAAAUAUAAACCAAUAAGGUCUCGGACUAUAGCUUAAUCUUAUCAGCAGAAUUCAGGUAGUGUGAGGCUGAAAUUGUGCUACUAACAAGUGUUUCCAGCCAUCACUGCCUUGAUGAAAUGGGAUGGAAAAAUCAGGAAAUAAAGCUGUGUCUGGAUCCACAGAGCUCCUGAAUGCAGCAGCACAGAGAGAGGAGUUGGCUGUGCCAGGCAGCAGCCAAGCGAUUAAGAUAAACAGUUCUCUGUUCCUGGUAUGCUGCAACACUAACACUACCCUGGUGAGCCUCCCAUGCCAGGAGACAUCAAUCCUCUUCAACUACAGAGACAAACUGCAAGUGAUUGCAAGAAAAUGUGGAUAGUUCGAUGAUAUUUUUAGGAACUCCUCUCCUUCUAGGUUAAAAAUGAAGUGAGGGCUGUCAGUGCCUUGGGGAUUGCUGUGGGUAUAAGCCAGCACCUCAAUUUAUUUAAGUUCCUUUAGGAGCAGACAUACAUCAUUUUAGCUGUUGGGAUUUUGAUCUCUGCAGGCUUUUUGAAUGGCUGACUGUGGGUUUUAAUACUCACUUCAGAAGAUGUGCAAAAUCCACCAUAAAAGCUUGGCAAUAUCAUCCCUUAAUGCUCCCCAUCUCUCCUUUCUAAUGUCCUACCUGUGGUGCUGUGUGAUUAUCAGGAAACUUAUACAGCAUAGUUUAAACUGGAAGAAUCUCUGUUUCUUAAAAAGUUAUAGCCUUCAAUUAUUGAGGUCUUAAGGUUGCACAAGCCUGUGUUCAUAAGGUAGCACCUUUAGAGGUGACUACUUGGAAAUGACUGCAUUUAGCUAAGAAAUUUAGCUCAGAAAAAACAUCAGAGAGAUGCUUAAAGGAGCCAUUCCUUGGACCAUGACAGCUGGAAAGAUUUAAGAUGUAUGUAGCCUCUUUGCUUCCUGUGAUCUUUGAAGGGCUGAGUUGUGUUCACUCCACUUCUCUGGCUCUAAAGGGCUGCCUUAAUGGUAAUGGCCACAGCCAGAUAUCCACACUAAGAAAAGUCAGAUCUGCUGGUUUUCAGUACCCAAAAGGUUUCUCCUUCCUGCCUGACAUUGGUUCAUCUUAGACCCUAAGAUUUCCUCACAUCCUAGCCCCACAGAGCCAGGCUGCAGCAGUCCUUCAAUCCCAAAUCCAUCCAGGAGGGAGGCAGUGCACACACACUUGCAAAAAGACUCGUGGUCUCUCAGGUAUUGGCCCCAGACCUCUUGUCCAAGUAUUUUUGUGCUGCACUGCUGUUAAGCAGACAUUCCUACAGUCCAGAUGUGCCAUAGUGCUGUCCCUCUCCUCCUCUGCUCCUCAUGUGGUCCUGGAGCUGUGAGAUGAGGCCAACAGUGUCACUGGGGUACUUGUACCUCCCUUGCAUCACUAUUUGUUCCCAAGGAUUGUUCUCUCACUGUUUAAUUAGUCCCUUCAGUAAUUAAGCAUAUACAAUUUGUUCUCUUUCAGUUGAUAUUUACCUUGUGGGAAUCAGGGGCUCCUGAGAGCUAUCACGCAUCGGAGCUUUAUGGGGACCCUGGGAAGAGGAAUCAUGUGUGACUUGGGCUUUGGCAAUGGCCCAGGCAAGGGGGAUAAUAAACCAGUCCCAAUCCCCUGCUUUUAAAUACUGAGACAGAGAGACUGGAGCUGGUCCAUGAUUGUGCUUUUUAGCUGGUGCUCCUCUCUCCCUCUCCAAUGUUCACGGGACCUCUGCAAGCACCUCCCCUCAGCCGUCACUGUUGCAGGCAGCCAGGCGAAGUGUAGCAAGAGUUGUUUGCCAAAAUAUGUCCAGCCAGAGACAGCAGGAUGGCGGAGAGGUGGUAACCAGGGCCCCAGAACCAGCAGCAAUGCUUCCUCUAUGCAUGGUGGCUGAGGCUGGGCUGUAAGCACACAUGUGGCACUUGGGAUGGGUGUGCACAGCCAAGCUGACAGGCUGCUCUCAACAGCCUGAAUUCCCCAGUCAGGUAUUUCUGCAAUUAGAAGCCCUCAAAUUUUUGAUGGCAUGCUAAAAAUUAAUAGCAAAAUAACCCCCUGAAGGUGCUCCUUUGGUAUUUUCAUUGCUCAAAAUUCAGAAACUUGCUGCAGCCUCAGUCCUUGAUUUUUCCUCUAACCCAUACGUUGGAGCGAGCGAAGCACCCGCUGACCUCAGUGAGAGUUUGGAUGCAGGGACUCCUUCACUGGCCAAAAGCACAACACAAAAGGUGGCCUUUCUGCUCAGGUCCUGUAUAUUACUCUCAACUUGUACUAUUAUGCACCUGAAGAAAUGCCAGGUCUUGCAGGCUGAUGGAUUUGAACAUGCCAGCACUGCUAAACACCCUGUUUAGAAUUUUUAAAUGUUUAAUUUGUAGCGAUGGAGACUAAAUUGAGAAUUAAAACCAUGCACAUCAGUCCCAAGGGAGCUCCCUUCUUCCCUCCCACUCCAUCUGGAAUGAAGAGGAGUUGGAAUUCUACAUGAAUUAAUGAAUAAAUAAUAGAGAGUCACACAAAUAAAUUUCAGAUGCAUUUUUUUUAAAAUCAUCUACAAGUUAAUAUUUAUUUAUGUGACUUGCAGAAUUCCAGCCAAUGGCUGCAUAAAUAUUAAUUAGUAAUUAAACUUACAUAGCAAAGCAAAAUCCUUGCAUUUGCUAAAUGUAUAUAUUAAAACUAUCAUUAUUUGUUUGGAGAAUUGGGUUAGUUUGGGAAUUUGGUCAAGUGGUGACACGAGUAUGAUUUUAGAGUGAUCCUGGGUUAAUCGUGCUUUUUUCUUUGAUUGCAAUUGCUCAGAGAGAGGAUGAAAGAUUUUUUUUUUCCCCUCCCAUGAGGAGAUGAUAACAAAUUUAAAAAGAGCCCUUGGCAAAACCGGGGCAUUGCUGUACUCCCAGUGGUAUAUCCUCGCUACGUUUUUGACUGAUUUCCAAUACAAAGAGGAGGAAGGAGGAUGGCUUCUCAGCCAUCAGCACAGCUCCACUGCCUGCAGUAGCUGUUCUCAUUUAGCAGCUGAUUAUCUGGCCUGUGGUGGUACUUUCCUAUUUAUGUGCCUUUUGGCAGCCCGAAGGCUCACUGUUUUUGCAGGCUACCACGAAUCCUUUUGCAUUAAUGCCUUGGGUCCAUAAUCCACAAUGUCCCUGCGUAUCACUUUUUGGUGUGCCUUGCUAAACCCACCUGGGAAGGAGGUUUACAAGGAUGAGCUUUCCUCUUCUGCAAAGAGAGGGAGAAUGAAGAGCUCGUGAGUCCUGGCAGCGCUGUGGCUCACACCUGAGGCCUCCCUGUGACGUCUCGCACUGCUUUGCUGAUUGCUCCGGUUCCGCUGUUUUCUCUGUGUGUUGUCUUACUGCUCUGGGGCUCUCAUGAGGGUUUCUCAAUGGCAUGGUUAAACCAGGCAUUGUCCCCUGUGAUCCAGGCUGGCUGCUACACUCCUGGUACCCAAGUGGCUCUAGUUUGAGCCUUGCUGUGAUUUGGGGGGCCCUGGGCUGGGACUCCCUUGGGCUCAGGAGAGGGCAGCAAGUGAAGCAGCUCUCAUCCUCAGGCACCUGCAACUAAAUAACGUGGCUGGAAAAAAGCUGGAAAAAAAGCGUUUUUGCUGAGCUGUGGCUUCAGCAGCACUUGGGCUUGGGUGUUCUACCGUGAGGUGAAAUUGCCAAGUGAUGCCGCAAACAUCUAAGGGGUAAAUUGUUUUAAGAUGCUCUAAGAACUGAAUGAGACUUUGGGUAGAAGGUGGUUUAUAGUUAUCUAUGAAUUUUUAAAGGUGAGGAGGGGAAAUAUUCCAGCCAAAAAGGGAGCUCUGGCAUUCUGUGUAAUCUCAUGCAAAGAGUUGGUGGUAGUGUCUGUGGUGCAUCCCAGCUCUGGGAGAGGCAGGGAGGUUCAGUUGCAUUGUGGCUUGGAUUUGUGCUUUGCAGAUUUCUUCUUUUAAGACAGUAAUCAUGGACUUAAGCUAGUGAGACAAACUCUCAGUAAAGCAUAUCAGUCCAUUUCAUCCUGCUGGGGAGUCAGGAUCUGCCUCUUGGUACAGUCCCUCUGUGAUUCCCCAGCCCCAUGGUCUGUUGUAGCUAACAUCUUUAAAGUCAAAGAGGUGAGGCCCAGUGCUCCUGGGACACACCUGGGAAAGCUUUUGAAGGCUCAGGACUUUAAUAAGGAUGUGAAGCUGAUAAAACACUUACUGCAGUACUUUUUUCUUGGGCCUCAUUUAAUUACAGGGACACUACUUGUUAAAGAAUUUAUUAAGCAGUUUUCUUACCCAUUUUGAGAUUGAUGGAGCAUACAAAGACAUGAGCUGAUUGAACCCAGCCAGGCUUCACUCAACUUUCAGAAAUUAGUAAUCUCUGAGGUCUGAAAAGACAAGUACAUGACUCAGGCAAUAGUCCUAGAUACCUCCACAAUGAACUUUCCUGGGUGAUGUGUGCUCUUUGGUUCAAUGAUAGUGGAUGGCCAUUGAGUGUGUGUGUCCAUUUUAACUAGUAGGAAGAAACAGAGACAGAAAAUAAAUUAAGCUGAUUACAAGCACAAUAAAACAAAGUGCACAAAUUUAAAUGUAAAACACUGAAAAUGUACCAGAAGUAAUAAAGACAAAACGGUGACAGGGGUCUGAGUAGGAGCCCUGGCUAAUUUUGUGCUGCAAGAUAUAAAAGAAAAUCAAUAUUAAAAAAAUGGGACCUUUAGCAUAGAACCUGUUAAAUGGUGUAUGCAACAAUUUAAAAGAAAUAACUUGGAGGCUAGAAGUGCAACAUAGAAACAUCCGAACAACUGACAUUUAAAGAAUUAACAUAAAAUUAUUCCAAGAUAGUGAUGAAUGUAGUCAAGCACUCUCCCAAUGCACAUUUAGAACUAGGCAGCUUUUACAGUGCACCCUCAAUCUUGAAUGCAUCUGUGUAACAAUUACCCUCGUGUCCCAGCUCUCUAUAGGCAAUAUAAACAUUCAGUAAUGUGUGGACCAGCCUGUUUAAAUCUGACUUUUUUUGUCUUGUCCUUGACCUCAUUGAUAGGUGAUGAAAUGGCAGGCCAACAUGGGGCUUGCGUUAUCUCUGCUCCUCCUGUUACCAUGGGCAAAACUCCUGACAGACAGAGAAUGAAAUCAGCAUCCUCUGAGUAACACAUCACUCCUUUGGAGAAGGGAUGUCUCUAUUGGUGGUUGACAUCAGCAAAUACCAAAUGCUAUGGUGUUGCCAUGCAUUCUUCACUGAUCAAAUGUCUUUUUCAGUGCAGUGCUCUCCUUUUAAAGUGAUGUUGCAGAUGUUAAUUAAAUAAAUACUCAUUAUUUAAACAAGACGAA